rnacentral:tRNA from 1 species
CGGAGUGUAGCGCAGCCUGGCAGCGCACCCGGUUUGGGACCGGGGGGCCGAAGGUUCGAAUCCUUCCACUCCGA